rnacentral:tRNA from 1 species
GGGCCGAUAGCUCAGUGGUAGAGCACUACAUUCGCAUUGUAGGGGUCGGGGGUUCAAAUCCCCCUCGGUCCACCA